AGAAAAUGGACACAAUUCAAUGGAUAUCAGUCAACAAAGAGAGGAGGAGGCAUACACAGGUAUGUCAACUGGUAUUGGUAUGUUAUGUAGAUCACAUUUACCAUCCUGCUCCCUUACCUCCAAUGAAUAUCCCAUAGACCUCUUCAUUAUGGACAAGACUUCACCCUCUCCCUACCAGACCUCUGAAUAUAACAGGAAACCUGUUCGAUCACCAUGCACUGCAAAAUCAUUCUGGAUAUGGAUGCGGAGAACAUCAACCCAUCAACAUCAACAUGCCAGAGGAUAUACCCAUUGGGCUUUGGGCUCUGCUUGGAGUUUACCUCAUUUUUUUGGUUAAUUGUGCUUUGCUACUAAAAUCAUAAUAA